rnacentral:rRNA from 1 species
AUUGAACGCUGGCGGCAGGCCUAACACAUGCAAGUCGAGCGGAUGAAGGGAGCUUGCUCCUGGAUUCAGGGGCGGACGGGUGAGUAAUGCCUAGGAAUCUGCCUGGUAGUGGGGGAUAACGUCCGGAAACGGGCGCUAAUACCGCAUACGUCCUGAGGGAGAAAGUGGGGGAUCUUCGAACCUCACGCUAUCAGAUGAGCCUAGGUCGGAUUAGCUAGUUGGUGGGGUAAAGGCCUACCAAGGCGACGAUCCGUAACUGGUCUGAGAGGAUGAUCAGUCACACUGGAACUGAGACACGGUCCAGACUCCUACGGGAGGCAGCAGUGGGGAAUAUUGGACAAUGGGCGAAAGCCUGAUCCAGCCAUGCCGCGUGUGUGAAGAAGGUCUUCGGAUUGUAAAGCACUUUAAGUUGGGAGGAAGGGCAGUAAGUUAAUACCUUGCUGUUUUGACGUUACCAACAGAAUAAGCACCGGCUAACUUCGUG